rnacentral:rRNA from 1 species
AAUGGACGAAAGUCUGACGCAGCCACGCCGCGUGAGUGAAGAAGGCCUUCGGGUUGUAAAGCUCUGUCGAGCGGGACGAAAAAUUCUUAGGUGAAUAGCCUAGGGAUCUGACGGUACCGCUAAAGGAAGCACCGGCUAACUCCGUGCCAGCAGCCGCGGUAAUACGGAGGGUGCAAGCGUUGCUCGGAAUUAUUGGGCGUAAAGGGUAGGUAGGUGGUCUCAUUUGUCUGGGGUGAAAGCCUUGAGCUUAACUCAAGAAGUGCCCCAGAAACGGUGAGACUGGAGUCCUGGAGAGGGUCGUGGAAUUCCCGGUGUAGCGGUGAAAUGCGUAGAGAUCGGGAGGAACACCAGAGGCGAAAGCGGCGACCUGGACAGGUACUGACACUCAACUACGAAAGCGUGGGGAGCAAACAGGACUAGAUACCCUGGUAGUCCACGCUGUAAACGAUGGGUACUAGGUUUGGUGGGUCUUGACCCCUGCUGAACCGGCGCUAACGCACUAAGUACCCCGCCUGGGAAGUACGGU